GAUGAACGCUGGCGGCGUGCCUAAUACAUGCAAGUCGAGCGAACGGACGAGAAGCUUGCUUCUCUGAUGUUAGCGGCGGACGGGUGAGUAACACGUGGAUAACCUACCUAUAAGACUGGGAUAACUUCGGGAAACCGGAGCUAAUACCGGAUAAUAUUUUGAACCGCAUGGUUCAAAAGUGAAAGACGGUCUUGCUGUCACUUAUAGAUGGAUCCGCGCUGCAUUAGCUAGUUGGUAAGGUAACGGCUUACCAAGGCAACGAUGCAUAGCCGACCUGAGAGGGUGGUCGGCCCCACUGGAACUGAGCCGCGGUCCAGACUCCUACGGGAGGCAGCAGUAGGGAAUCUUCCGCAAUGGGCGAAAGCCUGCCGGAGCAACGCCGCGUGAGUGAUGAGGGUCUUCGGAUCGUAAAACUCUGUUAUUAGGGAAGAACAUAUGUGUAAGUAACUGUGCACAUCUUGACGGUACCUAAUCAGAAAGCCACGGCUAACUACGUG
rnacentral:rRNA from 1 species